GUGAGUGGUUAUUGAGCCUGCUCAGAGACGAAGACGCCGCUCUGCAUCACUCGGCUGUGUCACUGCACAGCUCUCACUGGAACUGCAGGACAGAGUAAAGCUCAAAGCACCAAAAGGCUGGAGCCACAGAGGAUUGUGGGUACUGUAGUCUUGCAGGUCAACGUUUGUGUCGCAAUGAAGAUGCAUACAGGGGAUUCGAGGGCGGUGAAAGGCAGCAGCUGUGUUCUUCAUCCUGGGGGGGCGUUGGAGGGUAUUUCCUGGGGCAGUUUCUGUGUGUGGCUGCAGCUCGAGGCUCUGCAGCUGUUUUCAGUGUGCGCGGCCUGAUUGUUGACUCUCAGUCUGAAGGUCACGGCGUGAUGCCGCCGGUCAGUGCACUGAAACUCAGCUGACUACCUCCAACCGGCCGCUGUGAUUGGCUGAGCCGGCUGUGUUACACAGACAGAGGAAGAGGCUGCAGGUAUUUGGUCUUCGCCACAGACGUAGAAGGAAAGGAGCAGACAGGAAAAACCAGCAGCUCCGUGCAUGAAAACUCUGACCAGGCCUCGGGCCUCAGACGGGGACCGGGCUGUUAUGUGGAGUAAAAGCGACAGACGCAGCGUGGGGUGGAAGGCUCUUCUUUAACGGGAACGUAAACUUGGAUCCAAACCUCACACACGGUCAGAGCGAGUCCGUGCGCGAUGUUGAGCGACCCAGUCCAGCACUUCCUGCUGAGGCCGCUGGUUUCUCCGAGAGGCCGGUGAGAACUGAGCUCCACCUGACCUCUGACCUCUCCAGGACCAUGCCGUCACCUCUCAGCUCAUCUCAGUCUGACCCAUCGGGACUCAAACGUCUCUGUUUGUGGCUCCAUCGCUGCUCCUCCCCUCCUCCUCCUCCUCUCCCCGUCAGCUGCGGCGACCUCUGCCCUCUGUCAGCAUCAUGCCGUCUCCCCCUGCUGGUGGCCCUGCUGCUCUGCGGCCUGCUGCUGAUGGUGCUGCUGCUGCUGUGGAACUACCACUGUGUGUUCAUCUCACGCCUCUGCUCCCCCCCGGGGGAGGAGGAGGGGGAUGUGGGGGAGAUGGGCUUGUGACCUCUGACUGUGUCAUUAAUGAUGGUGAUGGUGAUGAUGAUGAUGAUGAUGACGACGGCUCGGGAUGCUUUUCAGUUUUGAUAAAAAUGUAACAAUCAAAAUAAAAAAUCUUAAACGUGCCGAACUCAAAGGUUCCUUUUCUGAAUCUCGCAAACCGCCUCUUCUGUUCAUAUGAAGGGGCGUGGCCUUUACACGAUGGAACAUGAUGAAUGGUGUAACAGCCACCGGGGGGCGAUCCAAAUACGUCUCCCAUUAAUGAGUGGUGUUUUUACUGAUGUGCAUCUGAAGCCAGCGCGUACUUCCUGUUUCUGUGGCGGGCGUUCAUGUCAAACGCGUUAGUAAUGAUGAGGUCGUCAGAUCACUGCGCACUGCAUAGAAGGGGGAUUCAAAGUUCCUGUUCAGGAUGAGCAGCCAAUCAGAAUAAAGUUGCUCUGAAUGAGGGAGGAGCUAAAAAGCUUGCUUUAGCAGCUGCUGCAUGAAGAGAAGUAAAAACUCCUCCAUGCUGGUUUUCAGGACUGAUCACGUCCCGCAGGUUAAACACACCUGUGCCCCGUCCUCAGGCUGUAACACGCACACCUCCUCAGGUAAAGACCAGGCUCACAUACACACACAGUGCGAGAGCACGAGAGUGUAAAAAAAGCCUGCAGACACGUCAUUUUAAACCCUCCAUUACGGUUCUAUUCCUGUCUGCCAGCAGGGCGCCACGCCCAAAACCUCCACCACCGCCGCUGAUUUAUUUCCAGAGUCGCUUUGGUGCUGCUGAGGAGCCAAUCCAACACGUUUACUCAGGAACUGCUGCUGAAUGACACCUGAAUCAUAUUCACCCCCACUGCGACCUCUGAUGCCCCAGCAGGUCCCGGGGUUCUCCUGGACCUCCUGGAGGACCCUGGGAGCCUCCACUCUGUAAAGCCCAG
ensembl:lncRNA